CUGUGCCUGCUGGGCUUCUCAGCUGCUGAGCCAGUCAUCCCCAGAGCUGGGGGCCUCUGUUGAGUGGUGCCCAAGGCAAGGAGGGCUCAGCUCACCUGUGGAAUGCCCUCAUCUACUGUGUGGCUCCUGGGAUGGGACUGAGCUUGCUAAAUGUGUUCCUGAAGUCGCACCACAGAGAGCAUGAGAGGCCUGAGUUCAUUGAGUUCAUUGCCUACUCCCAUCUCCCGAUCAAGUUCAAGUCCUUUCCCUGCAGAGAUGGUAACCACACUUUAUUCCAUAACCUUCAUGUGAAUCGGCCUCCAACUAGCUAUGAAAGUG
rnacentral:lncRNA from 1 species